rnacentral:lncRNA from 1 species
AACAUUACUACCUAUCUACUGAUAAGCUCAGACGUUGCCUAAGGGAUUCGGUGGCAGGAUAUUAACAUCGUCUGAAACAAUAUCUGAAGCCAAGACAGUCAAGUCUCAAAUCCUGACUCUGCCAAGUACCAACUGUGUGAUUUAAGGCCUAUGGAUCAGAACCGGUUGCAGCGCUGGCAGUGAUAUCUGGAAGAGGACUUUCUACUUGCCCAGCAGAUCACCAGCAGCAGGGGCCUUUCUCACACACAAGCAUCUUCUCAGAUUUGCUUGUUGAUGGCCGCCUUUUGUCAAUGCGGAUGGAUUUUAUAGGAACUUGCUGUGUGUCAUACUUCGCCUCAUAAACUGAGUAAUACAUCUUUGGACCAACCCCCAAAAAACUAAGAG